rnacentral:rRNA from 1 species
UGGCUCAGAACGAACGCUGGCGGCAGGCUUAACACAUGCAAGUCGAGCGCCCCGCAAGGGGAGCGGCAGACGGGUGAGUAACGCGUGGGAACGUGCCCUUUGGUUCGGAACAACUCCGGGAAACUGGAGCUAAUACCGGAUAAGCCCUUCGGGGGAAAGAUUUAUCGCCAAAGGAUCGGCCCGCGUCUGAUUAGCUAGUUGGUGAGGUAAUGGCUCACCAAGGCGACGAUCAGUAGCUGGUCUGAGAGGAUGAUCAGCCACACUGGGACUGAGACACGGCCCAGACUCCUACGGGAGGCAGCAGUGGGAAUAUUGGACAAUGGGCGCAAGCCUGAUCCAGCCAUGCCGCGUGAGUGAUGAAGGCCUUAGGGUUGUAAAGCUCUUUUGUCCGGGAAGAUAAUGACUGUACCGGAAGAAUAAGCCCCGGCUAACUUCGUG